CAGCCGCCGCGGUAAUACGAAGGGUGCAAGCGUUACUCGGAAUUACUGGGCGUAAAGCGUGCGUAGGUGGUGGUUUAAGUCCGUUGUGAAAGCCCUGGGCUCAACCUGGGAAUCGCAGUGGAUACUGGGUCACUAGAGUGUGGUAGAGGAUAGUGGAAUUUCCGGUGUAGCAGUGAAAUGCGUAGAGAUCGGAAGGAACAUCUGUGGCGAAGGCGGCCAUCUGGGACAACACUGACGCUGAGGCACGAAAGCGUGGGGAGCAAACAGGAUUAGAUACCCCCGUAGUCCCUGUCUCUUAUAC
rnacentral:rRNA from 1 species